CACGUGGGUAACCUGCCUGUAAGACUGGGAUAACUCCGGGAAACCGGGGCUAAUACCGGAUGGUUGUUUGAACCGCAUGGUUCAGACAUAAAAGGUGGCUUCCGCUACCACUUACAGAUGGACCCGCGGCGCAUUAGCUAGUUGGUGAGGUAACGGCUCACCAAGGCGACGAUGCGUAGCCGACCUGAGAGGGUGAUCGGCCACACUGGGACUGAGACACGGCCCAGACUCCUACGGGAGGCAGCAGUAGGGAAUCUUCCGCAAUGGACGAAAGUCUGACGGAGCAACGCCGCGUGAGUGAUGAAGGUUUUCGGAUCGUAAAGCUCUGUUGUUAGGGAAGAACAAGUGCCGUUCAAAUAGGGCGGCACCUUGACGGUACCUAACCAGAAAGCCACGGCUAACUACGUGCCAGCAGCCGCGGUAAUACGUAGGUGGCAAGCGUUGUCCGGAAUUAUUGGGCGUAAAGGGCUCGCAGGCGGUUUCUUAAGUCUGAUGUGAAAGCCCCCGGCUCAACCGGGGAGGGUCAUUGGAAACUGGGGAACUUGAGUGCAGAAGAGGAGAGUGGAAUUCCACGUGUAGCGGUGAAAUGCGUAGAGAUGUGGAGGAACACCAGUGGCGAAG
rnacentral:rRNA from 1 species